rnacentral:rRNA from 1 species
AGUGAACGUUGGCGGCGUGGAUUAGGCAUGCAAGUCGAGCGAGAACCGUAGCAAUACGGGGACAGCGGCGAAAGGGACAGUAAUGUGUAGGUACCUACCCCGAGGUCUGGGAUAGCUGCGGGAAACUGCAGGUAAUACCGGAUAAUGUCUUCGGACCAAAGGUGUGAUUCCACCUUGGGAGGGGCCUGCAUCCUAUUAGCUUGUUGGCGGGGUAACGGCCCACCAAGGCGACGAUGGGUAGCGGGUGUGAGAGCACGACCCGCGUCAUUGGGACUGGGACACUGCCCAGACACCUACGGGUGGCUGAAGUCGAGGAUCUUCGGUAAUGGGCGCAAGCCUGACCGAGCGACGCCGCGUGCGGGAUGAAGGCCUUCGGGUUGUAAACCGCUGUCGUAGAGGAGGAAAUGCAGGGGGGUUCUCCCUUCUGUUUGACCUAUUCUAGGAGGAAGGACGGGCUAAGUUCGUGCCAGCCGCCGCCGUAA